CAUUCCUGGCACGCUGGUCCAUUUCCAGACUAACCCAACACUGACCCUGAAGUAGUCUCCCCCUAUAAGGCUGCACCAGAUCUCUUCAUGCCUGCCUGGGACCCUGCCUUCCUGGCCCUCCUCAUCCCCAGCAAACACAUGUGCCUCUUCCUCUGGCAUCCAGGGAAAGAGCCAUCUUUCCAAGCAUGGGACAAGUGAACUGACACCAUGGAUCAGCAGACACAAAGACAGGGAGAGAGAACAAGGGAUCACUCAGCAGGCAGAGAAGCACCAGCCAAGUGCACCUGAUCGAGGCGGACACACCCAAGCUGUCCCACCCCUUCCCCACUUCAUCCACACAGACAAGGCUCUCAGGGCUGGAAGGAGUUGAUCUCAGGAGUCUGCUUAGGCUUGGAGGCUCACGUCUGGAACCCCAGGAGGACUCAACCCCUCCAAGCACUCCAAGUCUAGGAAGGUAGAAAGAGGUUUGUCAGCACAAUGAGACCCAGAUUCAAAUCUCUAGACUGCUUACAUCGAGCAAGUUGCUUUUACUCCAAAGCCUGGCUUCUCACCAAUAAAAUGGGAACACUAACAGGCUAACACUUCAAGGAUAGUUGUAAAAUUUGGUGUUACUUUUCCUUUCUACCCCUACUCCCCUCUAGACUCACAGAACUGGCAUUUGGCCAGAGGAUAUGAGAUCAAGUUUAGAUCAACAAAGACUGGAGAGAAAAGUCAUUUCAUUACAAUGAUAAAAGACUUCUGAGAGGAAAUCCAUUUUUGUGUGUGUGUUGUCUGAUUUUUCUUCAGCCCCCUAAAGGGGGU